rnacentral:tRNA from 1 species
GCUGAUGUGGUGUAAUGAGUGCACACUCUCCAUUUCGAGAGAAGAAUGGGUUCAAAUCCCAUCAUUGGCA